UCUCUCUGAAUCUGCGAACGGCUCCGCAAACCAGUUGUAAACUAUAGCAAGCAAGCCUGGGUUUGCCCUUCACGGGGUGGGCCUGGGCGAAACGGAUAUCCUUGGUAAUUCUGAGGCUAAUACGAGAACGCAAUACCUGGGUGACUGGGCAACCGGAAGCCUGGGAGGCGUGCAAGUUGUGUCGCGAGAGUUCGCCGGGAAUGGAUGCACGCCUGGACCGCGCCAAAGACAGAUGGGUGUCACCUUGCCUUCACUGGCUUGGGGGUGCCUGCCUGAGCGGCUCUUGCUGUGUGCUUCUGACCUAUCAACUAGACGGCAGCGUAAGGGACAUGCUAUGGUUACAACGGGUACAGAGGAUUAGGGUUCGAUCCUGGAGAGUGGGCCUGAGAGAUU
rnacentral:rRNA from 1 species